UCCGGUCACGAAUCAAAUGCUUCGGGGGAUUUAACCAUUCCGAUUCCGAUUCUAAGCCAUUUUGAUUCCUAUUCCUAUUCUGAUUCUGGUUGCGAGCCAAACACCCCCUUAUAGUAGUCUAUGCUUCCAACUUUGGCUCAAUGUGAGUUUGAAUUGUUUCUUCUUCCAUCACGAAUGAUUCUCACUUGAAACACUCGGGGCACCGGUAAACCUAAUGUUAUAGCAAGCACAAAUAUAGGGCACACACAGAUUCG
rnacentral:lncRNA from 1 species